UACGUAGGGUCCGAGCGUUGUCCGGAAUCACUGGGCGUAAAGCGUGCGUAGGCGGUUCGUUAAGUCUGCUGUGAAAGCCCUGGGCUCAACCUGGGAACUGCAGUGGGUACGGGCAGACUAGAGUGCGGUAGGGGAGAUUGGAAUUCCUGGUGUAGCGGUGGAAUGCGCAGAUAUCAGGAGGAACACCAAUGGCGAAGGCAGAUCUCUGGGCCGUAACUGACGCUGAGGAGCGAAAGCAUGGGGAGCGAACAGG
rnacentral:rRNA from 1 species